UUAAUAAUUCUAAGAUGGCGGAUUAGUAAACUAUGGCCAGGAGUGUCCUUUAUUGUCUCUGAACAGGGAAAUGAAUGAGGUUGACCUGUGUGUUACCUGCUACCAACAUGUUACCCAGUCAUUUGGGCCAAUGAUCACCUGGAAUCUUGGUCUGCAUCAGUGCUAUCCAAAGUGUGUCAGAAGAACACCAUUAAUGUUACCAGAGGACUUGUCAGAAGUGCAAAUUUGUGGAUCCCCCAGAUAUGCUGAAUCAGAGUCUCUGACCCAGAAGUCUGCAUUACAACCAGAUCUCCAGGUGAUUUUUUUGUAUGCUAAAGUUUGAGAAACAUCAGCAUAGAGGACAAAGUGGGCAUCCCACAGAUACAUACAAAUAAAUGUGGAUGACUGACUAGACUUCAGUUUUCAUGUAAAAAUUUCAGUAAUACAUAACGUAGUAGUAGGAUAAGGAAAUCCUUUCUCAAAGUGACCUCACACUAUCUUACGUAAAUUUGUAGUCAUUUAGAAUAAAUUGUAAUGAGGUCAUAAAUUCUCAUGAAGUAGCUAGUAACAAAGGGACUUGAGGGUCCUACUGUCAGGAAGAGGGGCAGUGUCUGGUUCUUCCCCCUGAUCUAUACUGAGGAGAUUAACUGAAGUUUAGCUAUAUUUAAGUGUCAAGUUUAUGGAGUUAGGGUAUAAAACAAUGACCAAGAAAAGCUUGAUGAAAGUCAAGACCACAUCACUAAGCCCAAGUGAGAAACAGAGAAGUUAAAUUCAAAGGUAAAAUCGGGGGCAGUAAGGGUGAAAUCAAGUACAGGUUUCAAAGUCAAGAUAAAAAAUACUGAGGUCAAAGAUGGCACUACAAAACAGUUAGAAAAAAACAGGAUAUUGAACUAAACUCACAGGAGAAAAUUUGAGUCCCUGAAGUACCUGUUGAAAGAGCUUCUUCUAGAUGUAGCCUCCCACUCAAUUUGUCUUGAUUCCUUUUGUCUAUCCCAGGGCAAGGUCAUGCAACAAGUGGUAAAGCCAGGAAAUGAAAGCAAAGUUUCUCAAUUCUUCCAUUCAGCCAUAUUUCAACAUAUAAACACACAGCUUUAUGAGCACAAAACCUGGUAUUCCACUGAACUUCAAUCAUU
rnacentral:lncRNA from 10 species